AUUGAACGCUGGCGGCAGGCCUAACACAUGCAAGUCGGACGGUAGCACAGAGGAGCUUGCUCUUCGGGUGACGAGUGGCGGACGGGUGAGUAAUGUCUGGGGAUCUGCCCGAUAGAGGGGGAUAACCACUGGAAACGGUGGCUAAUACCGCAUAACGUCGCAAGACCAAAGAGGGGGACCUUCGGGCCUCUCACUAUCGGAUGAACCCAGAUGGGAUUAGCUAGUAGGCGGGGUAACGGCCCACCUAGGCGACGAUCCCUAGCUGGUCUGAGGGGAUGACCAGCCACACUGGAACUGAGACACGGUCCAGACUCCUACGGGAGGCAGCAGUGGGGAAUAUUGCACAAUGGGCGCAAGCCUGAUGCAGCCAUGCCGCGUGUAUGAAGAAGGCCUUCGGGUUGUAAAGUACUUUCAGCGGGGAGGAAGGCGAUGUGGUUAAUAACCGCGUCGAUUGACGUUACCCGCAGAAGAAGCACCGGCUAACUCCGUGCCAGCCGCCGCCGCGG
rnacentral:rRNA from 1 species